UGUGAGCUCUGAAGACAUUUUUAAGGCAGUUCUGAUAUCUAACAAACUUCCACAAAGAUCAAUUUUUCCACAGCCCAGUAAGAAUUUAGGACAAAUUCCUAUGUAGCUUGGAAUGCAAGAAAAAUAAAUUUUGAUUGUUUUAACUAAUACUUAAAAUUAAUUUUGUUUUCUUUUUAUUUCAGCUAAAACAGAACAUAAAAUAGAAACAAUUGCUCCUCAGUUUUCCAAGGUGAAAGUUAAAGACUUCUUUCACAAGCUGGGCCCACUGACAGUGUUCUCAGCCAAGCAGAGAUGGACAGCCCCACGGACCAUUUGCCUUCACCAUGAAGCAGGAGAGCUUGGAUUCAGUCUGAAAGGAGGUUCACCAGUACAGGUUUAUUGUCUUGAUCCAGUUUGUUCUGCAGCUUCAGCAGGCCUAAAAGAAGGUGACUACAUUGUAUCAGUUGGUGGCAUGGAUUGCAAGUGGCUUGGUGUCAGCGAAGUGCUGGAAAAAUUGAAAAAUGUGGGAAAGCAGCCCAUGGAGAUUGAGGUUAUCAGUUGCCAGGAUACAACAGCAUCUUUGGUAUGUAGUGAGGCAAAUUGCCAGGUUUGAUAUGCUAGAGUUUUGUCACUUGCCUGCCUUC